GUGCUUACUUCAGCAGCAUAUUAUUAAAAUUGGGACAAUACAGAGAAGAUUGCUAUGGUCCCUGCACAUAGAUAACACAAAUUCAUGACACGUUCCAUAUUUUU
rnacentral:snRNA from 1 species